GACGAACGCUGGCGGCGUGCUUAACACAUGCAAGUCGAACGGAAAGGCCCUGCUUUUGUGGGGUGCUCGAGUGGCGAACGGGUGAGUAACACGUGAGUAACCUGCCCUUGACUUUGGGAUAACUUCAGGAAACUGGGGCUAAUACCGGAUAGGAGCUCCUGCUGCAUGGUGGGGGUUGGAAAGUUUCGGCGGUUGGGGAUGGACUCGCGGCUUAUCAGCUUGUUGGUGGGGUAGUGGCUUACCAAGGCUUUGACGGGUAGCCGGCCUGAGAGGGUGACCGGCCACAUUGGGACUGAGAUAAGGCACAGACUACUACGGGAGGCAGCAGUGGGGAAUAUUGCACAAUGGGCGGAAGCCUGAUGCAGCAACGCCGCGUGCGGGAUGACGGCCUUCGGGUUGUAAACCGCUUUCGCCUGUGACGAAGCGUGAGUGACGGUAAUGGGUAAAGAAGCACCGGCUAACUACGUG
rnacentral:rRNA from 1 species